rnacentral:rRNA from 1 species
CCUACGGGGGGCAGCAGUGAGGAAUAUUGGUCAAUGGACGGAAGCCUGAACCAGCCAUGCCGCGUGCAGGAAGACGGCUCUAUGAGUUGUAAACUGCUUUUGUACAAGGGUAAACCUGAAUACGUGUAUUCAGCUGAAAGUACUGUACGAAUAAGGAACGGCCAACUCCGUGCCAGCAGCCGCGGUAAUACGGAGGAUCCAAGCGUUAUCCGGAUUUAUUGGGUUUAAGGGGUGCGUAGGCGGAUUGAUAAGUUAGAGGUGAAAUGUCCGAGCUUAACUCGGGAACUGCCUCUAAUACUGUUGAUCUAGAGAGUAGAUGCGGUAGGCGGAAUGUAUGGUGUAGGGGUGAAAUGCUUAGAGAUCAUACAGAACACCGAUGGCGAAGGCAGCUUACCAAUAUAUAUCUGACGUUGAGGCACGAAAGCGUGGGGAGCAAACAGGAUUAGAUACCCCGGUAGUC